UACGGGGGGAGCAAGCGUUGUUCGGAUUUACUGGGCGUAAAGGGCGCGUAGGCGGCGCAACAAGUCACUUGUGAAAUCUCCGGGCUUAACCCGGAGCGGCCAAGUGAUACUGUCGUGCUAGAGUGCGGAAGGGGCUACUGGAAUUCUCGGUGUAGCGGUGAAAUGCGUAGAUAUCGAGAGGAACACCUGAGGUGAAGACGGGUUGCUGGGCUGACACUGACGCUGAGGCGCGAAAGCUAGGGUAGCAAACGGG
rnacentral:rRNA from 1 species